rnacentral:rRNA from 1 species
AGAGUUUGAUCCUGGCUCAGAACAAACGCUGGCGGCGUGUCUUAAGCAUGCAAGUCGAGCGGCAAGGCGGGGCAACCCGCCCUAGAGCGGCGGACUGGUGAGUAACGCGUGGGUAAUCUGCCUUGGGCAUGGGGAUAGCCACUAGAAAUAGUGGGUAAUACCGAAUACGUUCCACGAGGGGAGGACUUGUGGAAGAAAGGGUGCUACGGCGCCGGCCUAAGAUGAGCUCGCGUUCCAUUAGCUAGUUGGUGAGGUAACGGCUCACCAAGGCGAUGAUGGGUAGCCGGCCUGAGAGGGUGUACGGCCACACUGGGACUGAGAUACGGCCCAGACUCCUACGGGAGGCAGCAGCUAAGAAUAUUCCCGCCAAUGGAACGAAAGGUCUUGACGGAGGCGAACGCCGGCGGUGAAAUGAAUGAAGGCCCCGAAAGGGUUUGUAAAGGUUCUUUUUAACUGGGGAAAGAAUAAGGCCUGGGGAGGGAAUGCCCGGGGUGAUGACAUGAACCGGUGAAUAAGCCCCGCCCAACUACGUGCCAGCAGCCGCGGUAACACGUAGGGGGCGAGCGUUGUUCGGAAUUACUGGGCGUAAAGGGCAUGUAGGCGGUCUGGUAAGCCUGGCGUGAAAGUCUGCAGCUUAACUGCAGGAAUGCGCUGGGAACUGCUGGGCUUGAGUGACGGAGAGGGAGCUGGAAUUCCUGGUGUAGGGGUGAAAUCUGUAGAUAUCAGGAAGAACACCGAUGGCGAAGGCAAGCUCCUGGCCGAUGACUGACGCUGAGGUGCGAAAGUGUGGGGAUCAAACAGGAUUAGAUACCCUGGUAGUCCACACAGUAAACGAUGUGCACUAGGUGCUGGGGCGGUAGCUUCAGUGCCGGAGCGAACGUGGUAAGUGCACCGCCUGGGGAGUAUGCUCGCAAGGGUGAAACUCAAAGGAAUUGACGGGGGCCCGCACAAGCGGUGGAGCAUGUGGUUUAAUUCGAUGGUACGUGAGGAACCUUACCUGGGUUUGACAUACAACGUGAAGUGGCAGCGAUGUCACUGCGCAGCAAUGCGACGUUGUACAGGUGCUGCAUGGGCUUGUCGUCAGCUCGUGCCGUGAGGUGUUGGGUUAAGUCCCGCAACGAGCGCAACCCCUACUGCCAGUUACUAACAGGUGAAGCUGAGGACUCUGGCGGAACUGCCGGUGACAAACCGGAGGAAGGUGGGGAUGACGUCAAGUCAUCAUGGCCCUUAUGUCCAGGGCUACACACGUGCUACAAUGGGCGAGACAGAGCGACGCGAAGCCGCGAGGUGGAGCAAAUCGCAGAAAAUCGCUCUCAGUUCGGAUUGGAGUCUGAAACCCGACUCCAUGAAGGUGGAAUCGCUAGUAAUCGCGCAUCAGCAUGGCGCGGUGAAUACGUUCCCGGGCCUUGUACACACCGCCCGUCACACCAUCCGAGUGGGAGGUACCCGAAGCCGUUAGACCAACCUGUAAAGGGGGUCGACGUCGAAGGUACGUCUUGUGAGGAGGGUGAAGUCGUAACAAGGUAACC